rnacentral:rRNA from 1 species
UACGGAGGGUGCGAGCGUUGCUCGGAAUCACUGGGCGUAAAGGGAGCGUAGGCGGCGUAGUAAGUCAGAUGUGAAAUCCCGGGGCUCAACCCCGGAACUGCAUCCGAUACUGCUAUGCUAGAGGAUUGGAGAGGUAGCUGGAAUUCUUGGUGUAGCAGUGAAAUGCGUAGAGAUCAAGAGGAACACUCGUGGCGAAAGCGAGCUACUGGACAAUUCCUGACGCUGAGGCUCGAAGGCUAGGGUAGCGAAAGGG